rnacentral:rRNA from 1 species
GAUGAACGCUGGCGGCGUGCCUAAUACAUGCAAGUCGAGCGAACGGACGAGAAGCUUGCUUUUCUGAUGUUAGCGGCGGACGGGUGAGUAACACGUGGAUAACCUACCUAUAGGACUGGGAUAACUUCGGGAAACCGGAGCUAAUACCGGAUAAUAUUUUGAACCGCAUGGUUCAAAAGUGAAAGACGGUCUUGCUGUCACUUAUAGAUGGAUCCGCGCUGCAUUAGCUAGUUGGUAAGGUAACGGCUUACCAAGGCAACGAUGCAUAGCCGACCUGAGAGGGUGAUCGGCCACACUGGAACUGAGACACGGUCCAGACUCCUACGGGAGGCAGCAGUAGGGAAUCUUCCGCAAUGGGCGAAAGCCUGACGGAGCAACGCCGCGUGAGUGAUGAAGGUCUUCGGAUCGUAAAACUCUGUUAUUAGGGAAGAACAUAUGUGUAAGUAACUGUGCACAUCUUGACAGUACCUAAUCAGAAAGCCACGGCUAACUACGUG